UCUAAUAUGGCAGAUAAGUGCAAUGGACUUAAACCCCACUUAUAAAGUAUAAAUCUUUUUUUAGAA
rnacentral:tRNA from 1 species